CCUACGGGUGGCAGCAGUGAGGAAUAUUGGUCAAUGGACGAGAGUCUGAACCAGCCAAGUAGCGUGAAGGAUGACUGCCCUAUGGGUUGUAAACUUCUUUUAUAUGGGAAUAAACUGUUCCACGUGUGGGAUUUUGUAUGUACCAUAUGAAUAAGGAUCGGCUAACUCCGUGCCAGCAGCCGCGGUAAUACGGAGGAUCCGAGCGUUAUCCGGAUUUAUUGGGUUUAAAGGGAGCGUAGGUGGAUUGUUAAGUCAGUUGUGAAAGUUUGCGGCUCAACCGUAAAAUUGCAGUUGAAACUGGCAGUCUUGAGUACAGUAGAGGUGGGCGGAAUUCGGGGUGUAGCGGUGAAAUGCUUAGAUAUAACGAAGAACUCCGAUUGCGAAGGCAGUUCACUGGACUGCAACUGACACUGAGGCUCGAAAGUGUGGGUAUCAAACAGGAUUAGAUACCCCAGUAGUC
rnacentral:rRNA from 1 species